rnacentral:rRNA from 1 species
AACGAACGCUGGCGGCAUGCCUAACACAUGCAAGUCGAACGAGACCUUCGGGUCUUGUGGCGCACGGCUGCGUAACGCGUGGGAACCUGCCCUUAGGUUCGAACUAACUCCCCGACAGGGGUGCUAAUACCGGAUCAUGUCUUCGACCCAAAGAUUUAUCGCCUUUGGAUGGGCACGCGUUGGAUUAGCUAGUUGGUAGGGUAAAAGCCUACCAAGGCGACGAUCCAUAGCUGGUCUGAGAGGAUGAUCAGCCACACUGGGACUGAGACACGGCCCAGACUCCUACGGGAGGCAGCAGUGGGGAAUAUUGGACAAUGGGCGAAAGCCUGAUCCAGCAAUGCCGCGUGAGUGAUGAAGGCCUUAGGGUUGUAAAGCUCUUUUACCCGGGAUGAUAAUGACAGUACCGGGAGAAUAAGCUCCGGCUAACUCCGUG